rnacentral:rRNA from 1 species
AUACGUAGGGGGCAAGCGUUAUCCGGAAUCACUGGGCGUAAAGGGUGCGUAGGCGGCUGAUCAAGCCAGGGGUGAAAGGCAAUAGCUUAACUAUUGUAAGCCUUUGGAACUGGUCAGCUUGAGUGCAGGAGAGGAAAGCGGAAUUCCUAGUGUAGCGGUGAAAUGCGUAGAUAUUAGGAGGAACACCCGUGGCGAAGGCGGCUUUCUGGACUGUAACUGACGCUGAGGCACGAAAGCGUGGGGAGC